UACGAAGGGGGCUAGCGUUGUUCGGAAUUACUGGGCGUAAAGCGCGUGUAGGCUGCGGAGUAAGUCGGAUGUGAAAUCCCUUGGCUUAACCAAGGAAGUGCAUCCGAUACUGUUUCGCUUGAGUGUCGGAGGGGAUGGCGGAAUUCCCGGUGUAGAGGUGAAAUUCGUAGAUAUCGGGAGGAACACCUGUGGCGAAGGCGGCCAUCUGGACGACAACUGACGCUGAGACGCGAAAGCGUGGGUAGCAAACAGG
rnacentral:rRNA from 1 species